rnacentral:lncRNA from 1 species
CUCGCCAUAAACUAGGCUUAAGUCUUUAAAAUUUGAUAUGCUAUAAAUGUGGUUAGGAAGAGACAUGAGAGAAAGACUAAGUGGGUGCUCAUUAAUGAUAAUUGAAGCUUUAAGUAGAAAAACUUAAGACAGACAGUAUCGACAGAUAAUAGUGGUAUGAAAUGUAACCUUUUUUGUCAACAGUUACUAACUUUGGUGUAAGUAGUUCCUUCAUAUUGGCAUUCCCCCCAAUAUAUUGAUGCGCUCUGAUGCAAUCAUACAAAGAAAACCGAGAAAUCACGCAAGCAAGAAUCCAACCAGGCUCCAAAACAUCUAACCUCACAAACUGAUUGGCCAAAGCCUGAACAUCCAAUGCAUCUCACUAACUGAAAUAUAUUCAAAGGCUACCCAUAAGUACCACUUUUAGACCAUCCUUGGGCAUUGUUCCAUCAACAUGAACAUAGAUUUCAAGCAUCAUACAGAAACAUAAAGCUUUGCUUCAUCGAAUUUUUCUACCAUGGUGUAUGGCGACACUAUCUAAUAUGAAGGAAGCUACAGCCUACAGGGAAUGCCAUGUGUUCUGAUUGAAGCAUCUUCACUUCAAUUUUCCUUGUCAAAUGCUGAAUAACAGCUGGAAUUAUUGCCUAAAAUACAACAGCCUCUCUGUCUGCCUCUAGUUUAACAAUACCAUUCUACCCUCCAACUAGCUCCAACAAGACAAAAGAAUUGACAUGUACAAAAGAACCUAUGAUCUCUUGAGUACAAAUUCGGAAAAAUGCGUCAUAAUGCAGGUCUUGCUACCACAAGUAUAUGAUGAACAGAUAUUAGACACCAGAGGGAUUAAUAAACCAUGGCCUGCUCAUUGGAAUGCCGAUUAUUCGGCUGAAUGUGCCAUUUUACUGCUUCACCAUAAAUGAACUUUUACAACUGCAUCCACCCACUGCACUAGGAUUGGUAGACACCUGCAGAAAAUAAGACAUGCACAAAAGCGGUUAAAUGAAAUGGUCCUAGUGCCAGCUAAAAGUAUAUCAAACCUUAACGGAUGAAAAGUCUUGGACUUGGAGCAAUGUGAACAUUAGGAUUAUGGUAUAAAUUCGUGUAAUACACUACCACACCCUCGUAUGAAUUCUUCCAAGACCAUGUGACUUUUAUUUCCCUAUAGCUCAGAUAACACCAGAAAGCUUGCAGGCUUGUAAUUUUGUCAAAUCUAAGAAGCUUUUCAACUGUUUUCCUCCAAAAUAACAUCCAAACAUUAAACACCAUACUCCCCUUUAGAAGGUAGUACCAAAAGUUCAAUCACAAUAAUAAAACAUAUGGUCCGAGUCAUUUUACCAGUGUUUUGCAAAAAAUAAAAAAACUUUUGUUUGUUCAUAAAUAAUUUUAGCACGAGUCCAUUAUUUCUAGCAUCCAUCUACUUAUCAUAGUUGCGCCUUUCAAAUACAUUAUUUGUUUACAACAUAAUGUGUUAUUCUUUUCUGUUUCUGAUACAUUUUCAGUUGAUGGGCACUAAAGAGAACAUGAAACUGUAUGUGGUGCAAGAUAACCUUUUGAAGUCUCAACUAAUUUCCUUGUUCCAUACAUGACAAGAUAGAGACACAAAAAACUGCUCAAGUUUAAAGUGAUCUUUUCCCAUACUUCAAAAGCAGAAAAAAAUCAUGCAUUAAAAUAAGAAUUCUGGUCUAUAUGUGUUAGACACCUUUAAUUUAUACAUAAACUACUUGAAGGUAAAACUUGUAUUUUCUAAUAAAUCAUCAUAUUUGAGAAUGGCAAGUGUUUUUGAUCUGUCCUCGUUCUUGCUUCAUUGACAAACAGUAAUUGAAAAUGAGAAUAGCAAUAUCUUCAUGCUAUUGAUCUAGAAUACCAAUAUGGAUGUGUAUGUGACUGACAUGCAAGAAUACCAAUAAUGAAGGUACAUUUACAGACCUGAAAAGCAGAGCGAAUCAGCUCCUCAACAUAAUCAACAGUUGCACCUUUGACGAAAUCAUAUGAUACAUUAUCCACGACCAAUUUAACUCCGGCGCGCUCAAAUAUUCUAUGAAGAAUAAGAAAUGAAUAAGAUGGCAACAUAAACAACAUACUGACAAAUCUUAAUGCUAGUAACAUAUGAUACUAAAGUGAAUUUUAAGUGCGCUUUGCAGGGUGGGAAAGCGGGAAUAGGAUGCCGAAUUCAUACUGCAAAAUUUGUCAGAUUUCUUGUGACCACCUAGAACAUGAUUCAGCAAUCUCACUCUCAAAAAUUCUAAGAUGGCAUCAUAAACAACACACUGACAACUCUUAAUACUGGUAAAUUAUGGUACUAAAGUGCAUUUUAAGUGGCUUUUGGGAACAUGAUUCAGCAAUCAAUCAAUCAAUCAAUUAUACUUGAUGGUAAUUAGUUUUAAGACAAUUAAAUAGGGCCCAGAAAAUAAAUAGGCUGACAAAUAGUAGAAAACCUGUCAUCAGAAUUGGUGUUAUCAUCAAAAGAGAAUUCAUAUUGAAACCCCGAACAACCACCAGCUUCAACACUCAAACGAAGCAUCUUUUCUUGGUGUUCACCAGCUUGCAACUCUUUCAUCCUCUACUCAGGCAAGUAAAAGGACCAAGUCAUUCAAUUGUCUCAAUUAAAUUUUACAGACACCUAAAUAUUUCUCUACACACAUCAACCCUCAUAAAACAGUAUAAAAGCUUGAAUCUUGUCGUCUAACUGAUUAUGUUCUCACAUAGUCAUAUGUAUCACAAUUCCAGACCCAAACAAAAAAAAUCCCCUUUCCAUAUAAACCCUUUCAGAAAUGGAGGUUGGAGCUAUUCGCCAGGAAUUUAACAAUCUUUCAUAAAACAACCAAACAAGUUUUGACUUUUUAGCUGAUUAAACAAAAAGGGUUCAAGAAGAGACAGCAUAAAAAGCUUGAAAAUUUAUGUUACAAAUUCACAUAAGAAAAUAUUUAUAGCGACAGAAAAGAUAUCCCAAAUAAUAUCAAUCAUAACAGGGAAAACUUCCGAUUGUGAGAUAUAAACUUACACGAACACAGCUGUCGGUCAUUAAAACGGAAUCGGGAGCUUCGACUUGGGAUUGGGAUUGGGAUUGGGAUUGGGGUUGAGAUAGAGCAGAAGAAUUCAAAAGGCGGUAAUUUUGGCGAAUCCGAGUGGUGAAAAAGGGAACAAUUCGACGAAUCAGAGAACUCGACGACGACGAUGUCAUAGCCAACAACUUUGUCAUCUACAGAAGAAAAUGAGAUUG